rnacentral:rRNA from 1 species
UACGUAGGGUGCGAGCGUUAAUCGGAAUAACUGGGCGUAAAGGGUGCGUAGGCGGAUGUAUAAGUUAGAUGUGAAAAGCCCGGGCUUAACCUUGGUCGUGCAUUUAAGACUGUAUAUCUAGAGUUUGUAAGAGGGGCGUAGAAUUCCAUGUGUAGCAGUGAAAUGCGUAGAGAUGUGGAGGAAUACCGAUGGCGAAGGCAGCGCCCUGGUAUAGAACUGACGCUGAGGCACGAAAGCGUGGGAAGCAAACAGG